rnacentral:lncRNA from 1 species
AAAAGAGAGGGAUUCUAAUUUAAAUCAACUGAAGCUUUUCUAUUUCGCAAGACUCUGCCAGAAGAUGUGUGUAGCUGAAGAAUUUUAAGCGGAAAGAGGCAACCUCCCAUAAAUCUUCCUUUAGUAUAUUCAUAUCUGGCCCAUGUUAGACAAUUAGGUCCCUCAUGGGAUAUGAACAGAAAAGAGGUGGGAAACAGGGUGGGAAAGAGUCUGGAUGCUGCUGUCUUUUUCUUUUGUCUUCAGAAAAAAUAAUGGCCCCAAGGGAUCAGACUUAAUCUCCUUUUAUGGAGAAGGUAUAGAGAACAAGGGCAAAAGGAUGAAAGAAAGAAAGUUAGAAGGGAAAGGAAUAGCUUGGAUUAUUUAAA